UGUGAUGUCCAUAAAGGAACAAAGAAUCCUUAUUCUGAAGGCCAAACAGAAAUGUUUUCGGGCGCAAAAAGAAUGGGACGGAACAAACAUGACCAGCGAACCAAUGUGCAACAUGUCCUGGGAUGGGUUGACGUGCUGGGAUCCGACCCCUGGUGGGGUCAUUGCUGAGAAGCCGUGUCCCAGUUAUAUCAGCGGAUUUUAUAAAAAUGAGGUGGCCAAGAGAACUUGUAAUGAGAACGGAACCUGGUGGGUACAUCCGACAUUCAACCGAGAAUGGACCAACUACUCCAACUGUUACCAGCCUUCUAUUGAUCUUAGUUUCC
rnacentral:sRNA from 1 species